UACGGGGGGUGCAAGCGUUGUUCGGAUUCACUGGGCGUAAAGGGUGCGUAGGUGGCGAGGUAAGUUUGAUGUGAAAUCUCCGGGCCUAACCCGGAAACUGCAUCGAAUACUAUCUUGCUCGAGGGUUGGAGGGGAGACUGGAAUACUUGGUGUAGCAGUGAAAUGCGUAGAUAUCAAGUGGAACACCAGUGGCGAAGGCGAGUCUCUGGACAUUUCCUGACGCUGAGGCACGAAAGCUAGGGGAGCAAACAGG
rnacentral:rRNA from 1 species